rnacentral:lncRNA from 1 species
GUGAGAAACUGCUUACACCUUAAGGCUUAUGUCAUAAUUUAUAUGAAACUGGAAGACUUGCUUGGUUAUAGCUCUUGAUGUGAAAAAGAAAAGUGAGAUGAACAAAAAAAAAAAGUGAACUAUGAAACCAGAGUCAGCAUCCCUAUUUACUGUUAUUUUUAAUCAUUUCAAAAAGUAAAUGAAGCCAAGCAUAGUGGCACAUACAAGCAACUCAUGAGAUUGAGGUAGGAAUAUCACAAAUUCAAAGGUAAACUUAGCAAGGCCCUAAGCGACAUAGCAAAACCCUGUCUCAAAAUAAAAAGGUCUGGGUAUGUGGCUGAUUGGUUAAGCGCCCCUAGGUUUAAUCCCUGGUACCAAAAAAUGAAAAAAUGACAGUUACAUAAAACAAUAAUUGCAAAAAAUGCAUCACUGAGCUUAUAAAUAUGAAGAUUUAAUCUAUAUGACCAUAAUAGCACAAAAUAGGGGAUGAGGUGGGCAUGGUGGAACAUGCCUGUGGUAAUCCCAGUUAGAGCACUGAGGCAGGAGGAUUAAACUUCAAGGCUAGCCUGAGCAACUUUACAAGACCCUGUCUGAAAAUACAAAGGGCUGGGGGUGUAGAUAUCAUAGAGUGCCCCUGGGUUUGAUCCACAGUAC